rnacentral:hammerhead_ribozyme from 1 species
UUCAGCUAACGAGUCCAAAAUAAAAUGAAACGCGCGUCCUGGAA